GUAGAGGAGGGAGAAGGAGGAUUUCAGUAGAACGUUUUUGUGUGUAGAAUGAGUUAGGAGAGGAUUUUGAAUGCGAUUUUUUGUGGGUUUGUAGUAGACAAAGUGAGAAACAAUUAGAGACAAAUCUCAUGUGAUUUGAUUAAGUAUCAAGGGAGAUAUGGGUCGUCGAAGUUGCGGGUGUCUAAGACUAGGGUUGUGAGGGUUAGCGAAUUUCGGGGCCUUGGUUCUUAGUGACCACUUGGACUUUUUAGGCGAAAUUUGUUGGGUUUUGUUUCUAAUAAAGUUAAGAAUAUUGUGUCCAAAUCUCAAGUCCAUACAACCUGUGAGCUAGGAGAUACGAAGAAAUGAGUGAGAAGGGGUGCAGAAUUUAUAGCUGCAGGGGGGGGGUAACUUUGAAAGCUUGGUUCUCUUAGAGUACUUAACCUUUUUCAAAAUUUCUUUUUGGGUUUGAUUUCUUAUCUUGUCUACUCUAACAUAUCCAAAACUGACUCUCAUAUAUACUCUAGUUUAGGAGUUAAGGGGAAUAAUAAAUUCGGGAUUUUGAAGGCAGUGGGAGGAAAGAAUAUAUAGUGGAUUUUUAGGGUUUUUAGGAUCAGAUUUUAGGAUUUGGAUGUGUUUAACGAUGUUAGACUCUUCUUUGGUCAUUUAGUUGCAAAAAUGACCCGGUGUUUCCUAUAGCAAGACCUCUCAACAUGACAUAAUUUGGUGCUUCUAGUGAGAGAGCUUUAGGGCUUCUAGAUUGAUCAAGGUAAGAUGGGGGUUUACCACUAUUGGUAGUAAUCAAGGUAGAGGAAAUGGACAAGCCCUUGCAGAUGAAUUUAUGAGGGCUAUGCAAAUGAUGAUGGAUCAAUAGAGUGCUAAUGCAAAGGAUCAAGAAGCUAGAAAAGCAUUGAGGACAAUUAGUGGAAAAACUGGAAGAUUUGAUGGUAAGAACAUUAUCUCAUUUUUGAGAGUCUACACUUAUGAGAUGGAGAUUUAUCAAGUGCCAAAAGGAAGGAUGAUUGAGACUUUUGAUCUUGCGGUUGUGCCGGAGAUUAGAGAGAGAGUGAAGCAGCUACAUGAAGAAGAUUUGGAAAAUACAUGAGCUAGAUUUGAAGAAAGGCUCAGGAAUGAGUAUUUUGAUGAAGAUUCAGAGAGAAUGUCUAAGAGAGGCUUCCUUGGUUGGAUAGAGCAACAACCAUGCAAAAAUAUGGGGCCUAAGGAGUUAUUUAGGGAAUUUGAAAAGAAGUUUGAGCAACUUUCGUUAAUUGAGAAGCGAAUUCUCGAGGUGAGAAAAUCAAAACUCUUUCUAUAAGCUGCAGAUGAAGUAUUAGAAGAUAGAUUACUUCUUCUUCUUUAAGAUGGAGUUGCAGAAGGAGGUUUUACUACAAAUUGGAGGAGAUUGGAGGAAGCAGUCAAUCUUUUUACUAAAAAAUAGAGAGCGAAGGCAAGGGGAUAUGGAAUGAAGAUGGAGACAACAUCUACUAAUAAGAUGCCUUGAAGAAUGGCAUUAUUUCCUUCAAAGACGGAAGGAUUAGAGAUGCUGCAAUGGAUGAUACUUUGGAGACUAACUUUGGCAGAGGAGGCAUGAAGAAAUUGAUGGAAGAUAGGUUGAAGAGGAGCAGUUCAUCUUGUGGCAAAGAAACAAAGACUUAUACCAUUGAAACUGAUCAAGGUAUGGUAAAAUCUUCUUCACAAGUGACCAGAGAAGUGAUGGUUAGAAGAGCAAAAGCCAUUAGAAAGCUAACUGGAUGGAGUGAUCCAAUAGAAGCUUCUAUAAUCAAGGCUUAUCUAUCGAAAGAAGAUGAAUACAAGGAGCCUGAAGAUGCAUCAGUAGAGGUUAAAAGAGGAAGAGCUGAUAAAGAAGAAGGGGUAGAAGAACCUUCAUCAAAGAAAAAAGCUCCAAAUGCUAAAGAGACUUCACCAAAAGAAGGGCAAGCUCAUCGUACACGUUAAAGACAAGAAGCAAGACCAUCUACUUCUCAUCCAGGAGAUGCACCUCUUCCAAAGGAAUGGUAUGAGGAGGAUAUAAGUAGGAAGAAGGAAGAGACUAAAGAAACCAAACAAAAGGAAAAAAAGGUAAAAUGUCUGCUUAUAAACUUCAAUCUGAUAUUGAAUCUUCAAUUGAUAUGAAAGGCAUUCUUGAAGAGAGGAUUCUUGAUGCAAAGAUUGAAUUUACCUUGAGAGAGGCUCUUCAUAUUGCAAAGAAGGACUUCCAUGAACUUAUUAUUGAUGUUAUCAAAAAAAAAGGGUAAAUGACAGCAGUAAUUGUAAUGGCAAGAGCUUUGGAUACUCAUAUGAUUGAAGAUGAGGAAGUAGAAAUAGGCCAAGUUUUUGCUAUGAUGGAUAAAUAUUUGGGCAUUAGUGAAAGAAAAGAAGAUGUUGAUGAAUGUUUGGAUGAUGAAAUGGAGAAUGAAAUUUUGAAGA